rnacentral:tRNA from 1 species
GCCAGCGUGGCAUAGUGGUUUGAGCGUUGGACUAAGACUCUGGAGACCAGGAUUCAAAUCUCAGCUUGUCC